GUAAAAAAGGUUUAAAGCUUACAAGAUCAAAUGAAGACUAUUGUGUUAUUCACAAGACUAGUUGGAAUUGCCGCCGGAGGAUGCAAGGUAACUUGUGAAGAAGAUU